GUCUUGCUAGCUCAGUUGGUAGAGCAUGACUCAAUUUCAAGGUCAUGGGUUCAAGCCCCUUAUUGGGUG